rnacentral:rRNA from 1 species
AGAGUUUGAUCAUGGCUCAGAUUGAACGCUGGCGGCAGGCCUAACACAUGCAAGUCGAGCGGUAGCACAGAGAGCUUGCUCUCGGGUGACGAGCGGCGGACGGGUGAGUAAUGUCUGGGAAACUGCCUGAUGGAGGGGGAUAACUACUGGAAACGGUAGCUAAUACCGCAUAACGUCGCAAGACCAAAGUGGGGGACCUUCGGGCCUCAUGCCAUCAGAUGUGCCCAGAUGGGAUUAGCUAGUAGGUGGGGUAACGGCUCACCUAGGCGACGAUCCCUAGCUGGUCUGAGAGGAUGACCAGCCACACUGGAACUGAGACACGGUCCAGACUCCUACGGGAGGCAGCAGUGGGGAAUAUUGCACAAUGGGCGCAAGCCUGAUGCAGCCAUGCCGCGUGUGUGAAGAAGGCCUUCGGGUUGUAAAGCACUUUCAGCGGGGAGGAAGGCGUUAAGGUUAAUAACCUUGGCGAUUGACGUUACCCGCAGAAGAAGCACCGGCUAACUCCGUGCCAGCAGCCGCGGUAAUACGGAGGGUGCAAGCGUUAAUCGGAAUUACUGGGCGUAAAGCGCACGCAGGCGGUCUGUCAAGUCGGAUGUGAAAUCCCCGGGCUCAACCUGGGAACUGCAUUCGAAACUGGCAGGCUAGAGUCUUGUAGAGGGGGGUAGAAUUCCAGGUGUAGCGGUGAAAUGCGUAGAGAUCUGGAGGAAUACCGGUGGCGAAGGCGGCCCCCUGGACAAAGACUGACGCUCAGGUGCGAAAGCGUGGGGAGCAAACAGGAUUAGAUACCCUGGUAGUCCACGCCGUAAACGAUGUCGAUUUGGAGGUUGUGCCCUUGAGGCGUGGCUUCCGGAGCUAACGCGUUAAAUCGACCGCCUGGGGAGUACGGCCGCAAGGUUAAAACUCAAAUGAAUUGACGGGGGCCCGCACAAGCGGUGGAGCAUGUGGUUUAAUUCGAUGCAACGCGAAGAACCUUACCUGGUCUUGACAUCCACAGAACUUUCCAGAGAUGGAUUGGUGCCUUCGGGAACUGUGAGACAGGUGCUGCAUGGCUGUCGUCAGCUCGUGUUGUGAAAUGUUGGGUUAAGUCCCGCAACGAGCGCAACCCUUAUCCUUUGUUGCCAGCGGUCCGGCCGGGAACUCAAAGGAGACUGCCAGUGAUAAACUGGAGGAAGGUGGGGAUGACGUCAAGUCAUCAUGGCCCUUACGACCAGGGCUACACACGUGCUACAAUGGCAUAUACAAAGAGAAGCGACCUCGCGAGAGCAAGCGGACCUCAUAAAGUAUGUCGUAGUCCGGAUUGGAGUCUGCAACUCGACUCCAUGAAGUCGGAAUCGCUAGUAAUCGUAGAUCAGAAUGCUACGGUGAAUACGUUCCCGGGCCUUGUACACACCGCCCGUCACACCAUGGGAGUGGGUUGCAAAAGAAGUAGGUAGCUUAACCUUCGGGAGGGCGCUUACCACUUUGUGAUUCAUGACUGGGGUGAAGUCGUAACAAGGUAACCGUAGGGGAACCUGCGGUUGGAACACCU